AGAUCUGAGCAAGACAAGGAGCCAGAGCAAGUAGCUGUGUCUGAAGUUGUGGGCUCUGGCCCUUCUGAAGAAUGUGUUACAGAUAGCUACUCAAAAGAAAAUUGUGAAAGCUGAUGCUUAUGUUGCAGCAUGUGAUGUCCCUGGAAUUAAAAGAUUACUUCCACCCACAUGGAGGGAGUGGGAAUUCUUUGAUAAUAUUUAUGAACUAGUUGGUGUGCCUGUGGUCACAGUGCAACUCAGAUACAACGGCUGGGUCACAGAGUUACAGGAUUUAGAACGUUCAAGGCAAGUAAGGCAAGCUGCAGGGUUGGAUAAUCUCCUUUAUACCCCAGAUGCAGAUUUCUCAUGCUUUGCAGACCUUGCACUCUCAUCACCUGAAGACUAUUACCUCGAGGGACAAGGCUCAUUGCUCCAGUUGGUGCUGAUAAAAAUCGGCUUGUGAAGGAUCAUACUCAUACUUUUGUAAACAAAGGGGGUGAAAUUGGUGAACUGGAUUUUAGGUUUCCAAUUGGAGCACCGUUACAUGGAAUUCGUGCUUUUUUGUCUACAAAUCAGCUCGAGAUCCUCCUUUUUGCUGGUGGCUGAUGGCUGUUGCUUGUUGGUUUGUUGCAUCUACUGCUGCUGGUUUGCUGUUGUUGCCGCCCUCGUGGCUGAUGCUUGCUGGGCUGCUGCUGCUGCAAUGUUGCUGUGAGGCAGCUGCUACUAGAUGUUGGUCUGUUGGAUAAGUUUGUGGGUGAUUUUCAUGCUAUUUUGCCUGUCUUUGUUAGUUUCAGGUUUUCAUUUUGUUAUUUGUUGUUUCUAAUGUGGGUUCACAAUUUGGAUGUAUUUGGGU